AUGCCACUUACACCUUUUACAAUCUUUAUUUUGAUUUGUGGAUUUUAUUCCAGAUUUCAUGCCAUCGAUUCACCAAUUCAAACCACUCAGAUUCAGAAUGAAGUUCUCAGAGUUGUGCGUGGAUCUGACGUGUCUUUGCGAUGUGACGUUCCUCUCCUGUCUAAUUCCUCCACUUUACACUGGGAGAAAGAUGGAGAACAAACACCCAACAGCACUCUGAUGUACAACACCUCUGCCUACAUCAUCUUACACACCGUUGAUGAACGCAGUGAAGGGAAAUAUUACUGUAGAUUGAUGCAAGAUGGAAGCGUACGAACUGUUAGGAUUCACACACUUAAUGUUACUCCAUAUUCAGAUGGAAAAAGUCAAAGUCAAACCAUUUCCAUUCAAAGCCCCAGUCAUAGCUCCAGUAAUACCAAUGUAUCACUGAUCUGCAAGUCUGCAACGGAGUCUCCUGAUGGUGUGUUGAGGAUUCAGUCAGUGGAUCUUACCUGUGAAGUUUCUGAAGUAAAUGAUUCAGUGACGCUGGUCUGGCUCAGGAUGGAGGGGAACAGAGGAGUGCUGGUCAAACAGCAAACUAUGACUGAGAAAAACACCAUGUUACGUCUCACAGUGAAUCUAUCCAACUCUAAAACAGACCCGCUGCACUGGCAGUGUGCAGUUUUUACUAAGAAUACACUCAGAGCUCUGGUCCCUAUAACAAUCAAUUGUACCUCAUCAAAUACAACUGCUCCAACAGAAAGCUCAGCUGUAACAAACGAAGUAAUCCAAAAAGUGUUUUGCUGUGUUUUGACUCUAUCUAUUGGGAUGUUGCUUGGAGCUCUAUUCAAUUACUGCUACAGGAAACGAAAGUCAGUGCACUCUGGCCCUCAGGAAUCUGAACCAGUCUAUAUGAAUAUCAACCAUAUGGGACAUGAAAGAGGAAAAGGAAGCAUGAAUAAAAGAGAGGAGACACCGGAUACAUCAGACAGUUUGACCUACGCAACCAUUGUUUUCAACAAGUCCAGGUUUCAGACUUAA
rnacentral:lncRNA from 1 species